rnacentral:rRNA from 1 species
AGCGAACAUUGGCGGUAGGCUUAACACAUGCAAGUCGAGCGAGGCGUAAUAGUCGAGCGGCGAACGGGUGAGUAAUACAUGGGAAUCUACCUUGGAGUGGGGGAUAACAGCCAGAAAUGGCUGCUAAUACCGCAUAAUCCCGAGAGGGGAAAGCGCGCGGCGCUCCAAGAUGAGCCCAUGGCUGAUUAGCUAGUUGGUGGGGUAAAGGCCUACCAAGGCGACGAUCAGUAGCUGGUCUGAGAUGAUGAUCAGCCACACUGGAACUGAGACACGGUCCAGACUCCUACGGGAGGCAGCAGUGGGGAAUCUUGCGCAAUGGGGGCAACCCUGACGCAGCCAUACCGCGUGUGCGAUGAAGGUCUUCGGAUUGUAAAGCACUUUCAGUAGUGACGACGAUGACGGUACCUACAGAAGAAGUCACGGCUAACUUCGUGCCAGCCGCCGCGGUAA